UGGCUAGACGACACUGACCCCAGUAUUAAGAGGUGGACUGCUAGUAGACACUGGCCCCAGUAUUAAGAGGUGGACUGCUAAGGAAGUGGCUAGUAGACACUGACCCCAGUAUUAAGAGGUGGACUGCUAAGGAAGUGGCUAGUUGACACUGGCCCCAGUAUUAAGAGGUGGGACUGCUAAGAAGGGCUAGUAGUGGCUAGUGCUAGUAGAACACGUGGCCUGGCCCCA
rnacentral:lncRNA from 1 species